GAAAACAGAAGAUUUAGCAUUUUCUGUGAGAAACGGGGCAGAUAAAUUAGCAGAAAAUGCACAGUGUCAGAAAAUUAUGAAAAUUGGCGGAGAUGUCACAAAUAUUUUUAUGAGGCUAGAUUUAAAGUUUCAUACCAUUCUGACACCCGUAGAGAGAGAAAUAGAAUCCGAAAGCUAUCUGAUAAAGAUUGCAGUUCGGUACAGUUUUCAAUGACCAAACAGGGUCGGAAUUGAAAUAUUAAAAUUUCUUUGGACUUAUUAAGUAAAACCGAGCAUACCUGUCAAAUUUGAGUUCAAACGGACGUUCAGAAGGGCUCCGACGAAAAAUAAACUGCGCGAAGUGAAUAGUGCGUAGUUGAGGGGCAAAAUGAUAAAAAGUGUUUAAAACCCCUUUUCUUCUUCUCCUCCCAACCGUGGCUGCCCCAACCGCACACACCACACACGCAUACACAAGAACACACACGCAUGGAAAGGAAAGGAGAGAAAUCCCUUUCUCUCUCUAAAUCUCUCCCAAAAUGGAUGGAUUUGGUGGAGAUUGAAGCUUGGAGGUGGAUCGCCUUCGUCUUCUUCAUCUUCUCCAUGAUUUGGAGCUCGUUUUGAGGUGAGCUUCUUGAGCCCUUUAAUAGUGGAUCUUUAAUACUUGAUUUAAAUACCUUAUAAAUGAAUUUAGAGGAGUCUUAGCAUGCUAUUUAAAUGAUUAAUGCUUGAAUCAUGAAUCAAUUUAGUGAUUUCUUGCAUAGUUGUAACCUAGGGCUCCAAAAUUCAAACUUUCAAAAUAUGAGGGUUUGAUCUCAUUUGACCCUUCGUAAACCUAAUUGCUAGGUAACGAAACGCGUUGGCGAAGACGGUUCGGCAAUCCGACGAGCCGUUACAAAGUUAUUAAAGAAAUGGACGUUUAGGCUUCGGGUCCGCCGGGAGGGCCGAGGCGACGUCGUAAAAUCAUGGAAAUGGAUUUGAGGCAUCGUGGCACAUAACCGAAGACCUAUAAUUUGCGGGGCUGCGAAGCGGGGCACGGUUGAGGCGCAGUUGCAGUAUCGGGCCGUGCCGGAUACGGGUGCCGCGGGAGGCCGAUUGCAAGUGUCAACAAGCAAUCGGAACGCGAAUCAAGGUGGGUUGUGCUUACCGAAGCGACUAGGUCGCCUUUAUGUCUAAGCGAAUUAAGAAUCCUUGUUGAUGCAUAUAAAUGUAAAUGACGCAUGUACCUAAUGCUAAGUGAUGUAAUGUAGAAGUGCUAAUUAGAAUGCAUAAUGAGCAAGUUAAAUAAUGCAUGUUAAUGUAAAUGCUAACUAGAAAUGCAUAAUGAGCAAGUUACAUAAUGCUAGAUAAUGCAUAUACUAGUAUGAUGCAAAUGCUAAGUAGAUGUAUGCUUAGCAUUGUGAGAUUAUAUAUGCAUAUGAACUUGGUUGAUAACUCUAGCUUGAUUAGAGAGAUAACAUUGGAAAAUAGGAUUUGUAUAACUGUAAUACUUGCUAUGGACAAUUAGCAUGUGAACUAGAUCGAGUGGCAUCUAACUUAGUGUUAAAGAAUACAAGUCGUGAGUA
rnacentral:lncRNA from 1 species